GACGAACGCUGGCGGCGUGCCUAACACAUGCAAGUCGAACGGAGUUAAGACUUCGGUUUUAACUUAGUGGCGAACGGGUGAGUAACGCGUGAGAAACCUGCCUUUCAGUGGGGGACAACAGUCGGAAACGACUACUAAUACCGCAUAAAGGAUUUUGACUGCAUGAGCGAAAUACCAAAGCUUAAUGUGCUGAAAGAUGGUCUCGCGUCUGAUUAGCUAGUUGGUGAGGGAACGGCUCACCAAGGCGAAGAUCAGUGGCCGGUCUGAGAGGAUGAACGGCCACAUUGGGACUGAGAUACGGCCCAGACUCCUACGGGAGGCAGCAGUGGGGAAUAUUGGGCAAUGGGGGAAACCCUGACCCAGCAACGCCGCGUGAAGGAAGAAGGCCUUCGGGUUGUAAACUUCUUUUACCAGGGACGAAGAACGUGACGGUACCUGGAGAAAAAGCAACGGCUAACUACGUGCCAGCCGCCGCAGUAAGAC
rnacentral:rRNA from 1 species